GUGUCAGCCGCCGCGGUAAGACGUAGGAUGCGAGCGUUGUCCGGAUUUAUUGGGCGUAAAGAGUUCGUAGGCGGUUCGUUAAGUCCGGUGUUAAAUACCGAGGCCCAACCUCGGGAGUGCAUUGGAUACUGGCGGACUGGAGUGCAGUAGAGGCGAGUGGAAUUCCCAGUGUAGCGGUGAAAUGCGUAGAUAUUGGGAAGAACACCAGUGGCGUAAGCGACUCGCUGGGCUGUAACUGACGCUGAGGAACGAAAGCCAGGGGAGCGAAUGGGAUUAGAUACCCCCGUAGUCC
rnacentral:rRNA from 1 species